rnacentral:rRNA from 1 species
GAUGAACGCUAGCUACAGGCUUAACACAUGCAAGUCGAGGGGAAACGAUAGAGAAAGCUUGCUUUUUCUAGGCGUCGACCGGCGCACGGGUGAGUAACGCGUAUCCAACCUGCCCAUCACUUCGGGGAUAACCUUGCGAAAGUAAGACUAAUACCCAAUGACGUCUCUAGAAGACAUCUGAAGGAGAUUAAAGAGUUUAUCGGUGAUGGAUGGGGAUGCGUCUGAUUAGCUUGUUGGUGAGGUAACGGCCCACCAAGGCGACGAUCAGUAGCCGGCCUGACGAGGGUGAACGGCCACAUUGGGACUGAGACACGGCCCAAACUCCUACGGGAGGCAGCAGUGGGGAAUAUUGCUACAAUGGGGGGAAACCCUGA